GACGAACGCUGGCGGCGUGCUUAACACAUGCAAGUCGAACGGAAAGGCCCUGCGUUUGUGGGGUUCUCGAGUGGCGAACGGGUGAGUAACACGUGAGUAACCUGCCCUUGACUUUGGGAUAACUUCAGGAAACUGGGGCUAAUACCGGAUAGGAGCUCCUGCUGCAUGGUGGGGGUUGGAAAGUUUCGGCGGUUGGGGAUGGACUCGCGGCUUAUCAGCUUGUUGGUGGGGUAGUGGCUUACCAAGGCUUUGACGGGUAGCCGGCCUGAGAGGGUGACCGGCCACAUUGGGACUGAGAGACGGCCCAGACUCCUACGGGAGGCAGCAGUGGGGAAUAUGGCACAAUGGGCGGAAGCCUGAUGCAGCAACGCCGCGUGCGGGAUGACGGCCUGCGGGGUGUAAACCGCUGUCGCCUGUGACGAAGCGUGAGUGACGGUAAUGGGUAAAGAAGCACCGGCUAACUACGUG
rnacentral:rRNA from 1 species